AGUCAUAUGCUUGUCUCAAAGAUUAAGCCAUGCAUGUCUAAGUACAGGCCGACUUAAGGCUAAACCGCAAACGGCUCAUUAAAUCAGAUAUAAUUCAGUGGAUCUAUACCAGUUACAGAACUACUUGGAUAACUGUGGUAAUUCUAGAGCUAAUACAUGCCUAUAGAGACUCCGACAGUGAUGGAGGAGCGCUUUUAUUAGUUCAAAACCAUUCGGGCCUUGGGCCGCAAUUGACUUGGUGAAUCUAAAUAACUUUUGCUGAGCGCACGAUCUACUUUUUAGUAAUCGGCGCCGCAUCCUGCAAGUGUCUGCCUUAUCAGCUCUCGAUUGUAGGCUAAAUGCCUACAAUGGCUAUAACGGGUAACGGGGAAUCAGGGUUCGAUUCCGGAGAGGGAGCCUGAGAAACGGCUACCACAUCUAAGGAAGGCAGCAGGCGCGCAAAUUACCCAAUCCCAGCACGGGGAGGUAGUGACGAAAAAUACUGUUGAGAGACUCCAUCGAGGCUUCUCAAUUGGAAUGAGUACACUUUAAAUCCUUGUACGAGGACCCAGUGGAGGGCAAGUCUGGUGCCAGCCGCCGCGGUAAUUCCAGCUCCACUAGCGUAUAUUAAAUUUGUUGCGGUUAAAACGCUCGUAGUUGGAUUUCUGUCUUGGACUGGCGGUUCACCUUAGCGGUGCUACUGCUCAGCUCUAUAGCUAACCCAACCGCUGGCUCGCAACGGGUGCUCUUCACCGAGUGUCCUAACGUGGCCGGCACGUUUACCUUGAAAAAAUUAGAGUGCUCAGAGCAGGCUGAUAGCCUGAAUAGAUGUUCAUGGAAUAAUAUAAUAGGAUCUCAGUACUAUUUUGGAAUACAAUAUGGUUUUCGGUACUCGAGAUAAUGAUUAAGAGAAGCAGACGGGGGUAUCCGUACUGCGACGAUAGAGGUGAAAUUCUUAGACCGUCGCAUGACGAGCUUCUGCGAAAGCAUUUGCCAAGGAUGUUUUCUUUAAUCAAGAACGAAAGUUAGAGGUUCGAAGGCGAUCAGAUACCGCCCUAGUUCUAACCAUAAACGAUGCUGACUAGCGAUCCGCCGCAGUUAAUCCCAUGACGCGGCGGGUAGCUUACGGGAAACCAAAGUUUUUGAGUUCCGGGGGAAGUAUGGUUGCAAAGCUGAAACUUAAAGGAAUUGACGGAAGGGCACCACCAGGAGUGGAGCCUGCGGCUUAAUUUGACUCAACACGGGGAAACUUACCAGGCCCAGGCACUGGAAGGAUUGACAGAUUGAAUGGCUCUUUCUUAAUUCGGUGGGUGGUGGUGCAUGGCCGUUCUUAGUUGGUGGAGUGAUUUGUCAGGUUAAUUCCGAUAACGAACGAGACUCUAGCCUACUAAAUAGUCGACGGAUCUGUGUAUUUGGGGCACGUGUCAUAUCGUAUGUAUUUACGUGUGGCCGUGACUGCCCUUUACAAGACCGUAUGACAAACAUGAAAAAAAAUUAAAAUGAUACUUUGUAAUACAAUGAGGAUGUUGAGGUGUGAUUUUGUGAAACCUCAUUGGUGUCUGUUCGCUAAUAGAAAUAUAUUAUAUCUUCUUAGAGGGAUAAGCGGCAGCAAAAAAAAUACUAGCCGAAUGAGAUUUUGAGCCAUAACAGGUCUGUGAUGCCCUUAGAUGUUCUGGGCCGCACGCGCGCUACAAUGGAGAGUCCAGCGAGCUCUCCCUGCUCCGACAGGAGUGGGUAACCUUAUCAAAGCUGUCCUUAAAGGGGAUUGGGGCUUGCAAAUGUGUCCCAUGAACGAGGAAUUCCCAGUAGGCGCAAUUCACCAGAUUGCACCGAUUUAGUCCCUGCCCUUUGUACACACCGCCCGUCGCUACUACCGAUUGAAUGGUCUAGUGAGGGCAUCGGACUGGCGCCCUUGGAGUGGUCUCUGUAGUGUGUUGUAUUACAGUUUAUGCCACGCCUCGGGUCGACGGAAAGAUGUCCGAGCUGGGUUAUUUAGAGGAAGUAAAAGUCGUAACAAGGUUUCCGU
rnacentral:rRNA from 1 species